GCGGAGGCGGAGGCGGAGGCGGGCACUGCAGGGCGGGGCGAGGAGGGGCGGCCGUCUCGACCCUCCCUGGUGGGGCCCCGCGGCCUGGGAGCCCGAGCGGGCCGAGCCGCCACCGCGGCCGGAGCUGUCCCCUAGCCAGACCCGGCGAGACGCGAGCGGCGGGAGGGAGGCGGCGGCGCGCCCGGCCCCGCCCGCCGGCCCGAGCGUCGGACGCGGCCGCGAGCCGAGCCAUGGAGCCUGAGCCAGUAGAGGACUGUGUGCAGAGUACUCUAGCGGCCCUUUACCCACCUUUCGAGGCAACAGCCCCCACACUGUUGGGCCAAGUGUUCCAGGUGGUGGAGAGGACUUAUCGGGAGGAUGCACUGAGAUACACACUGGACUUCCUGGUGCCUGCCAAGCACCUGCUUGCCAAGAUCCAGCAGGAAGCCUGUGCCCAGUACAGCGGUUUCCUCUUCUUCCACGAGGGCUGGCCCCUCUGCCUGCAUGAGCAGGUAGUGGUGCAGCUAGCCGCCCUCCCCUGGCAGCUGCUGCGCCCGGGAGACUUCUACCUGCAAGUGGUACCCUCAGCAGCCCAAGCACCCCGCCUGGCGCUCAAGUGCCUGGCCCCAGGGGGUGGGCGAGUGCAGGAGCUGCCUGUGCCCAAUGAGGCUUGUGCCUACCUGUUCACACCUGAGUGGCUACAAGGCAUCAAUAAGGACAGGCCCACAGGUCGCCUCAGUACCUGCCUCCUGUCUGCGCCCUCUGGGAUUCAGCGACUGCCCUGGGCUGAGCUCAUCUGCCCUCGAUUUGUGCACAAAGGAGGCCUCAUGGUUGGACAUCGGCCAAGCACACUACCCCCAGAACUGCCCUCUGGGCCCCCGGGGCUCCCCAGCCCCCCACUCCCUGAGGAAGCCUUGGGCACCCGGAGUCCCGGGGACGGGCACAAUGCCCCCGCUGAAGGACCUGAGGGCGAGUAUGUGGAGCUGCUGGAGGUGACACUGCCUGUGAGGGGGAGCCCCAUGGAUGCUGAAGGCUCCCCCGGCCUCUCCCGGACCCGGACAGUACCCACACGCAAGGGUGCUGGAGGGAAGGGCCGGCAUCGGAGACACCGGGCGUGGAUGCACCAGAAGGGUCUGGGGCCUCGGGACCAGGAUGGAGCCCGGCCGCCUGGUGAGGGGAGCAGCACUGGAGCCUCCCCUGGGUCUCCCCCGGGAGCUGAGGUUGAGGCUCUCCCAGAGGCAGCAGCCCUGGAGGUAGCUGAGCCCCCGGCAGAGGCACUGGGAGAAGCCUCUGAGUCUUGCCCUCUGAGGCCAGGGGAGGUUGGAGCAGGACCAGGCCAGGGGGCUGAAGGGCUGCCUGGUACCCCUCGGAGAACAGGCAAAGGAAACAGGAGAAAGAAGCGAGCUGCAGGCAGAGGGGCUCUUAACCGAGGAGGGGACAGUGCCCCAUUGAGCCCUGGGGACAAGGAAGAGACCAGCCACCAGGAAACCCUUGUCAGCCUGCUCCCACCACAUGAACACGAGCUUCCAGGAUGCAGCCCAGUUAAGGAGGAACAUGAAGGCUCCGGGAAGCCAGAACAUGAACCGAGAGAGGAGCUCAAGCCAACAGACAAAGAAGAGCCUCUGUCCCAAGAAGUCUGCAGGCCUGUAGAAGAAAGCGCCAGAGAAAGAGAACAGGAGGGGCUAAGCCUGAUGUGCAUGGCAGCGCCCGACGACCCAGAAGGGCUCCUCUCCAACCCCCUAAAACCAUCCCCAGAGACUGUGCAAGAAGUGAAAGGGGGGAGCAUUCCGGAAGAAGGCCCCCCAGUCUCCAUCUCUGAUGACCCUGGUGUAGCUUGGGACUUAAUGGCAUCUGGAUUCCUCGUCCUGACUGGAGGGGUGGACCAGAGUGGGCGAGCUCUGCUGACCAUUACCCCACCGUGCCCUCCCGAGGAGCCCCCACCCUCCCAAGACGUGCUGAGCACUGCUCUUCAUUACCUUCACUCACUGCUCAGACCUGAUCUACAGAUACUGGGGCUGUCUGCCCUGCUGGAUCUUCGCAAGGCACCCCCACUGCCUCCAGCUCUCAUUCCUGUCCUGAGUCAACUUCAGGACUCGGGAGACCCUCCCCUCAUUCAGCGGCUCUUGCUUCUCACUCUUGAUGAGCCUCCAGUUGAACUCCAUGGACUUCAGGGUGCUGAGUUGCUAUCAGAGGGUGAUCUGAAAAGAGUGGCCAAGCCAGAGGAGCUGCAGUGGGACUUGGGAGGUCACAGGGAGCCCUCUCCCAGUCACUGGGUAGAGACACACCAGCAAGUGGCAAGGCUGUGCCGCCUGUGCCGAGGCGUGCUGGGCUCUAUACGGCAAGCCAUUGAGGAGCUAGAGAGAGCAGCAGAGUCAGAGGGAGAGGAGGUGAUAGGGAUGCCUGAGCCCCUACAGAAGGUACUGGCAGAUCCCCGGCUGACGGAACUGCAGAGGGACGGAGGAGCCAUCCUGAUGAAGCUGCGUUCCACCCACAGCAGCAAGCUGGAAGGCCCAGGCCCAGCUGCACUGUAUCAAGAGGUAGAUGAAGCCAUCCACCAGCUCGUGCGCCUCUCCAAUCUGCACGUGCAGCAGCAGGAGCAGCGGCAACGCUCGCACCGACUGCAGCAGGCACUACAGUGGCUCUCGGGCCCCGGAGAGGAGCAGCUGGCGAGCUUUGCUGUGCCUGGGGACUCCCUGCCUGCCCUACAGGAGACAGAGCUACGGUUCCGGGCUUUCAGUGCUGAGGUUCAGGAGCGCCUGGCUCAGGCAAGGGAGACUCUGGCCCUGGAAGAGGACGCUGCCUCCCAGAAGCUUCUGGAUGUCUUUGAACAGCGCCUGGAGCAGGUGGAGAGUGGCCUCCAUCGGGCUCUGCGGCUACAGCGCUUCUUCCAGCAGGCACACGAAUGGGUGGACGAAGGUUCUGCGAGGCUGGCAGGAGCGGGACCAGGGCGGGAGGCGGUGCUGGCAGCCUUGGCCCUGCGGCGCGCCCCGGAGCCCAGCGCUGGCACCUUCCAGGAGAUGCGGGCCCUGGCCCUGGACCUGGGCAGCCCGGCAGCCCUUCGAGAAUGGGGCCGCUGCCGGGCCCGCUGCCAAGAGCUGGAGAGGAGGAUUCAGCAACAGCUGGGGGAGGAAGCGAGUCCCCGGGGCCAACGGCGACGACGAGCAGACAGUGCAAGCAGCGGAGGGGCCCCACGGGGCCCCCACAGCCCUUCACCCAGCCUCAGCUCCCUGCUGCUCCCCAGCAGCCCCGGGCCACGGGCAGCCCCGUCCCACUGCUCCCUGGCCCCCUGUGGGGAGGACUAUGAGGAGGAGGGUGCCGAGCUGGGUCCGGAAGCAGAAGGCAGACCACCAAGGACUGUGCUGAUCCGAGGCCUGGAGGUCACCAGUACGGAGGUGGUAGACAGGACGUGCUCACCCCGGGAACACGUACUGCUGGGCCGGGCCGGGGGACCAGAAGGGCCCUGGGGCGUGGGCACCCCCCGGAUGGAGCGCAAGAGGAGCAUCAGCGCCCAGCAGCGUCUGGUGUCUGAGCUGAUUACCUGUGAGCAAGAAUACGUGGCGGCCUUGAGUGAGCCGGUACCACCCCCGGGGCCUGAGCUGACCCCAGAAUUGCGGGGCACCUGGGCCGCUGCCCUGAGCGCCCGGGAGAGGCUCCGCAGUUUCCACCGGACACACUUUCUGCGGGAACUUCAGGGCUGCACCGCCCACCCCCUGCGCAUUGGGGCCUGCUUCCUUCGCCAUGGGGACCAAUUCAGCCUUUAUGCCCAGUACGUGAAGCACCGGCACAAACUGGAGACCGGUCUGGCUGCCCUCAGCCCCCCAACCAAGGGCACCUUGGAGGGGGGUCCUCACCUGCCCCGGGCCUUGCAGCAGCCCCUGGAGCAGCUGGUCAGGUAUGGGCGGCUCUUAGAGGAGCUCCUGAGGGAAGCUGGGCCUGAGCCAAGUUCUGAGCGCCAGGCCCUGGGGGCCGCUGUGCAGCUGCUCCAGGAACAAGAGAUCCGCGGCAGAGACCUGCUGGCUGCAGAGGCGGUGCGUGGCUGUGAGAUAGAUCUGAAGGAGCAGGGACAACUCCUGCACCGGGACCCUUUCACAGUCAUCUGUGGCCGAAAAAAGUGCUUUCGUCAUGUCUUUCUCUUUGAGCAUCUCCUCCUGUUCAGCAAGCUCAAGGGCCCUGAGGGGGGGUCGGAGACCUUCGUUUACAAGCAGGCCUUUAAGACUGCCGACAUGGGGCUAACAGAAAACAUCGGGGACAGUGGGCUCUGCUUUGAGUUGUGGUUUCGGCGGCGGCGUGCACGAGAGGCAUACACCCUGCAGGCAGCCUCACCAGAGAUCAAACUCAAGUGGACAAGUUCUAUUGCCCAGUUGCUGUGGAGACAGGCAGCCCACAACAAGGAGCUUCGAGUGCAGCAGAUGGUCUCCAUGGGCAUUGGGAAUAAACCCUUCCUGGACAUCAAAGCACUUGGGGAGCGGACACUGAGCGCCCUGCUCACUGGAAGAGCCGCCCGCACCCGGGCCUCGGUGGCCGUGUCAUCCUUUGAGCAUGCCGGCCCCUCCCUUCCCGGUCUCUCCCCGGGAGCCUGUUCCCUGCCUGCCCGCGUCGAGGAGGAGGCCUGGGAUCUGGACGUCAAGCAAAUUGCCCUGGCUUCCCCUCCAGCCCCAGAAACACUUGACUCUUCUGGAGAUGUGUCCCCAGGACCGAGAAACAGCCCCAGCCUGCAACCCCCACACCCUGGGAGCAGCACUCCCAUUCUGUCCAGUGGAGGGAUCUUAGGGCUAUCCCGCCAGGCCUGGCUGAGAGGGAUGAAGGUCAGAAGUGAAAAAGAAUCUUUAAUAAGGAGUGUAGUGCAAGAGUGAGAGAAAGGGGAGAAUUCUAACAGACUGGUUUGAAGUUGGACUCAAUCAGCAAAAUUCAGGAGUGAUGAAGAGGAAAAAAGGAGCCAUACCCGGGCCCUGAGCGACCCCACCACGCCUCUGUGACUGGAGAAGAUCCGGAGCUUGGCUACCGUCCCUCCUCUCAGCACACUUUGGGCUGGGAUGCUGAGGGCACAUAGUGGAGGACUGGAAGAGCACUGAAGUCCUUCCCUCUGCUUCCUGGACAGAGAGGAGGUCAAAGGACUAGUAUGUUUCCCUGCUACCACUGUCUCUAGCUCUUCCCAGCCAGGUGCCUUCCUACAAGAACCAGAAUGUCCACACUUGCUUGCCUUUAUACCCUGGAGGUGGGGAAAUUUUCCCCCGUCCAGUCCUUCCCCAUCCGGGGCCAGUGCAUACUCCCAGGACACCGCUCCGUGUCAGCCCUGCCUCCAUAGCCUGUGUUCUCCCCUCAUUCUGCCCCUGACUCUUCCUGAGAAGACUCAUCUCUGCCAGUUCCUGGCAACUCCGUUCUUGGAGAAGGGGGCAGGGGUCAUAGGACGCAGAGCUAUGUAAACCAUUACAGAAGAGUGGGGCAGGGAACUGCAAACUUUAUAUAUGUAAUUACUGUUAUUAUAAUACUAUUGUCAUAUUAAAUAUAUUUACUCACA